AUCUUGCUUCUGAUUGAUAACAUUUGAGUGAGUGGCGGACGGGUGAGUAACACGUGGGUAACCUGCCCUAAAGUGGGGGAUAACAUUUGGAAACAGAUGCUAAUACCGCAUAAAACCUAGCACCGCAUGGUGCAAGGUUGAAAGAUGGUUUCGGCUAUCACUUUAGGAUGGACCCGCGGUGCAUUAGUUAGUUGGUGAGGUAAAGGCUCACCAAGACCGUGAUGCAUAGCCGACCUGAGAGGGUAAUCGGCCACACUGGGACUGAGACACGGCCCAGACUCCUACGGGAGGCAGCAGUAGGGAAUCUUCCACAAUGGACGAAAGUCUGAUGGAGCAACGCCGCGUGAGUGAAGAAGGUUUUCGGAUCGUAAAACUCUGUUGUUGGAGAAGAACGUAUUUGAUAGUAACUGAUCAGGUAGUGACGGUAUCCAACCAGAAAGCCACGGCUAACUACGUGCCAGCAGCCGCGGUAAUACGUAGGUGGCAAGCGUUGUCCGGAUUUAUUGGGCGUAAAGCGAGCGCAGGCGGUUUCUUAAGUCUGAUGUGAAAGCCUUCGGCUCAACCGAAGAAGUGCAUCGGAAACUGGGAAACUUGAGUGCA
rnacentral:rRNA from 2 species